CUGCAAUUAAGUUCCGCCCAAAACAUAUGAGUGUAGGAGCAUUCACGGAACACAUAGAUGAGCUGGUUCUUACUUCAACCAAACCUGUUCUCUGCCUACACACAGCCUAACUCUUUGCAUGUCUUUUUCAGGUGAGAGGCAGCCUGGGAAUGAACAUCACUAGCGCCAUCUUCUCAACCAUUGGGAUAGUUCUCUUUCUAACAGAGCUGAUUAUUAAUGUGUCAGAUUACAGGCAUGACUAUGAGAGUGCUGGGAAGGGGAUCACAAUCAUGCUGUUCUUGAUGACCAUCCUGGAGUUCUGCAUCGCUGUCUCAACCUCGUACUUUGCAUCCCGAGCCAUCUGCUAUACCCCCAACACCCAGCUGAUGGGGCUAGCAUAGAACCAGCCAUGGAAUCGUGAUGCUGCAAACGCCCCUCCCAAAAG
rnacentral:lncRNA from 1 species